ACUCCUACGGGAGGCAGCAGUGGGGAAUAUUGGACAAUGGGCGCAAGCCUGAUCCAGCCAUGCCGCGUGUGUGAAGAAGGCCUUCGGGUUGUAAAGCACUUUUAGCAGGGACGAAAUACUUUCGGUUAAUACCCGGUGCGAAUGACGGACC
rnacentral:rRNA from 1 species